AACACUUAUUAAAAGUCUGUACACAUUUUAAAUUAAAUAAUGGUCUUUAUUUGUAGGACUCUGAAGAUAUCUUUACCAAGCAAUCUAUCUCUAUUAUUACAGAGGAACCCAAACAACCAUGUCAACAUAGUCAAAGUCAUUUGUCACCCACUGGCCACUAUACUGGGCUAUUGUUACAGUUUGACUUUGCAUCAAAUGUAUCACAUCAGCAAUCCUUUGUUGUUCAUGAUUAUAAUGCAAACAAAAGAACAAUUAUGCAUAAUUCAUUUGUAUUUGUACAUCGAUAUCCCCACCUAUUGCUUGAUGGCUAUGGUUGGAUAUUGUGCUGCUCAUGUGAUGCAAAUAGAAAGCAAUUUGUUGAAGCCCUACCUAAUAAUAUACAAUUAGAUCCUCAAAAAGAAUCCACAUCCAUGAUGCAGUCUGUUUUCAGUGAUCAUUCCUACCAUGAGAUGCAACCUGAAG